rnacentral:rRNA from 1 species
UGGUGGAGUGAUUUGUCUGGUUAAUUCCGAUAACGAACGAGACCUUAACCUGCUAAAUAGACCAGCCGGCUUUGGCUGGCUGCUGUCUUCUUAGAGGGACUAUCAGCGUUUAGCUGAUGGAAGUUUGAGGCAAUAACA